CAAUCCCACUCCUGGGCAUCUAUCCAGAAAAAAAAAAGAUACACAUAUUCCAGUGUUCAUUGCAGUACUGUUACCAAUAGCCAAAACAUGGAAGCAACCUAAAUAUCCAUCAAGACAGGAAUGGAUGAAGAAGCUACGGCACGUAUAUACAACAGAGUAUGACUCAUUCAUAAAAAAAGAAUAAAAUCAUGCCAUUUGCAGCAACAUGGAUGCACCUAGAGAUUAUCACACUUAGUGACGUUAAUCAGACAAAGACAUCAUAUGACAUCGCUUAUACGUGGAAUAAUUUUUUAAAAAGGACACGAAUGAACUUAUUUGCAGAAUAGAAAGAGACAAACUUUGGAUUGUUUCAUAUAUAUUGAUUAACCUUAUCAAUCCUUUGAGGUAGGUACCAUUAUUACUAUUCCCAUUUUUGCUGAUAAGUUAACAAAGGCACACAUAGGUUAAAUGACUUACCCUUCUGCUCAGUAGCAGAGAUGGGAUUCAAAGUAAGCAGUCAAGCUCCAGAAUCUGUUUUCUUUAUUACUAUAAUACCAUGAAUAAGUGAAAUAAUAAACCUUAUCACUUAAAAACAUUCAGAAAAGGAAUCUAUAUGUCCUGUUCUCAAAUUCAGGAUAAGUUAAGUUUAUUAGUUCUGCUUCCUCUUUGUGUAUCUGUGUAUAAGAAACAUUAUGUGAUGGUGCUUCCACUUUUGACUUAUCCACAGGUACACCAGGAAGUGGAAAUGAUUCCCAUGGAAUGUGAUGCUAUCACUGUGAAGGUCAAUGUGUCUGCAUUUUGUUUAAUAAUUAAGAAUAUACAGAUUGGCAUAUAAGACCAGCCUGAUCUUAUUAUCUGGCGCCCACUCCACAGCCAAACAAAACUACAUGUGGCCUCCCUUCCGAGGUUCUAUGUGACCCUGGGCCAGGCUGAUCAGGUGACCGCAAAGUCAAAGAGUAAAUUUAAAACAUGGUAGGGAUUCAAAGCCAAGGAAUGAGUUGGUAAAGUAGUAAGAAAAAGGACAAAGUAUAACCCUAUGUAGGGGAUGAGUCAAGUGUUGGAAAGUCAUAAAGAUCCACACUAGAUUGUGAAGAGGACAUAAGCAGGUCAGGGUGAGUGGGACUACUGAGUCUACUUUGCUGAUUCUUCUGUGAUGUCUAAUUAAGACAGGAGGGAUUUCCAAACAUCCUAGUUUUGUGGCUGACUCCUUAAAAAUCUGUCUUCAGUGAAUUUAUCUAAGCUAUAUCUUAAAAUGUUAACAUGUUUAGCUAGAAACUGGACAUCAAACAGGAAGAGAAGUUAUAAAUUAUCUAUGUAUCACUUUCACUUUAAAAUAAGUCAACUCUUCACAAAAAAGUGAAGCCUUUGGUCUGUAAUCACUCAGUUAAAGCAACAUACAAGUAUGCAAAAUAGCAGACCCUGUAGAAAGUGAAAUUCCCUUGUUUAUCCUAAAUUGUUUUUUGUUGUUGUUGUUGUUGUUGUUUUUGUAAUUUUCCAAGGUAUCCCCCACAACCUACUUUGGGAAUACUGUAAAUGAAUAAUAAGUCAAACUUCCAUACAGAAGUAGUCUCCAUUCUUGCCUGUAAAAGUCCUCCGUUUAAAAAAAAAUGUUUUUUUACCAUUUCAUGGAGGCACCAUCCAUUCAUGAAUGAGUGACUGGAAAUGCAUAAUGAAUUCAGGUGAAUGAAUACAAAGUGGCAUCUUGAUCACAAUCACCUUCUGAUCUCUACUGCCCCUUGUCAAGAUGUGUGUUGCAGAUGGACACAGCACAGGGAAGUGGGCCAGAUUUGCCCCUUCAGAAUUCUGAGUUCUCCUUUAUAGAUAGAGAUUAAAUAAGUUGGCAUUAUCAGCUUCCCAAUGUGAUAUACCAAAGAUAUAUGUCACCUAUGUAAUAUUCAGGCAAAAAAGUUUAACUUGAAUCCAAUCAUGAGAAAUAAUCAAGCAAACCAUAGUGAGGGAUAUAGCUUUAUGGUCUGUAACAUAAAUGACCUGGACUUUUUGAAAAUAUCAUUAAUGUCUUUAAAUGUUUAAAAAAAAAAGCUUUAUUGACUGACAUUUAUAGAGACAUGAUGAAUGAACGAUGUGAUUCUUGAGUGAAUCUCGAAUCAGGUAGAAAAGCCAUAAAUAAUAUGUCUGAGGCAAUUAGAGAAAUUAAAAUAUUGAGGGAACAUUAGAUAACGGAAUUGCAUUGAUCCCAAAUGUCCUGAUCAUUGUAUGAUCAUUGUAUUGUGGUUGUGUGGACCCUUCUUAUUCUAAAAAUCCACAUGCUGAAGUGUUUACAGAUAAAGUUUCUUAAUAUCUGCAAUUAACUCUAAAAUGGUUAGGCCAAAAAGAAAUAUAUGUGAAUGUGUGUAUGUAUGUAUACACACACACACACACACACACACACACACACACACACACACAAAGAUAGGUUGAAAAAAAAAACAUACGUGGCAAAAGGUGAACAAUGGAUGUAUCGAGGUGGAAAGAAUAGCAACAUUCUUUGUACUAUUUUUAUAACAUUGCUUUAUAUUUUAAACUAUUUAAAAUCAAUAGUUUAGGGAGGAAAAUAAGGAAUAAAUCUUAUACUCUAAACAAGAUAGAAAACAUGCAAUCUACACAUCAUAAGUAGUGAAGUAAUAUGUUGAAUGAGUGAAUAAAGCAAUGAAGAGCUCAGGGAUACUCCUUAUGCCUACCUCAGUAUUUCUCCCCACAGUCCUUUAAGAGCUGUAAAUGCUAGAUUUACCAGCUUUUUUCUUUAGAUUAGACCUGAUCUUACUUGAAAUCCCUAGUUAAGAUGAAAACAUUAUUGGAAAGAUCAACCACAUACAUUCACCUCAUUUUCUAGUUAACCUGAUCAUUUCUUUUUUUCUGUUACAGCCCUUAGAAAAUUAUUUAGUCUUUUCAUUCUUCAAAUUUCUCACCUUUGAAAUGGGGAAAAUGAUGCCUUUAUUGUUGUGAGGAAUAAAUAUGACAGUGAAUUAAAAUGCUCACACUUAAUUAGAACUUGAUAAAUGGUAGAUAUUAUUAUUAUUAUGCAUGGACAAAGUUCCACUUACUUUCCUGGCUAUUUCCUGCUAAUGCUUUCCAUAUUACUUCCCAAUAUAAUCAUAAUAUAAAAAUUAUGGUGGAAAAAUAAUAGGAACUCUCUUGUGCCCAGAGUGUCAUAAAUGUUUCAGCCACAUGAUAUAAUUUAAUUCUUGCAAAAAUCCUGCAGAUUAUAUCUGUUAUUACUGCUUUAUUGAUGAGGAAGCCAAAGUUCAGAGAAUGUAAGAGGCUUACUUAAGUACCCGGGGUGAAGAAGCUAAGAUUGAAUCCUAGUCUACCUGAUUCCACACCACCCUCAACCAGUACAGCAGCACACUGCCCUGAAUCUUUACUAAUUUUGACCAGAGAAGACUCAUUUUGAGCCUCUCUUAAUGGACAUACCCAUAUGUCCAUUAAUUAUAACACCCAUUUUCAAGUCAUUUCAAGUCAUGCAAGUUUAGACUCCAGCGCUUUCCAAUGCAUAACGUUGACAAAGUCAAUUAUAUUUUAUGAGUUUUAUUUUUUGGUCUAUAAAAU
rnacentral:lncRNA from 1 species